rnacentral:rRNA from 1 species
GACGAACGCUGGCGGCGUGCUUAACACAUGCAAGUCGAACGGAAAGGCCCUGCUUUUGUGGGGUGCUCGAGUGGCGAACGGGUGAGUAACACGUGAGUAACCUGCCCUUGACUUUGGGAUAACUUCAGGAAACUGGGGCUCAUACCGGAUAGGAUCUCCUGCUGCAUGUUGGGGGUUGGAAAGUUUCGGCGGUUGGGGAUGGACUCGCGGCUUAUCCGCUUGGUGGUGGGGUAGUGGCUGACCAAGGCUUUGACGGGUAGCCGGCCUGAGAGGGUGACCGGCCACAUUGGGACUGAGAUACGGCCCAGACUCGUACGGGAGGCAGCGGUGGGGAAUAUUACACAGUGGGCGGAAGCCUGAUGCAGCAACGCCGCGUGCGGGAUGACGGGCUUCGGGUUGUAAACCGCUGUCGCCUGUGACGAGGCGUGAGUGACGGUAAUGGGUAAAGAAGCACCGGCUAACUACGUG